GACGAACGCUGGCGGCAUGCUUAACACAUGCAAGUCGAACGGAAAGGCCCUGUUCUUGUGGCGUGCUCGAGUGGCAAACGGAAGAAUAACCCGUGAGUAACGUGACCACGACUGUGGGCUAACUUCAAGACACUGGGGCUAAUACCGGAUAGGAGCGAAUGCUGCAGGGUGGGGGCUGGAAAGUUUCGGCGGUUGGGGAUGGACUCGCGGCUUAUAAGCUUGUUGGUGGGGGAGUGGCCUACCAAGGCAUUGACGGGUAGCCGGCCUGAGAGGGUGACCGGCCACAUUGGGACUGAGAUACGGCCCAGACUCCUACGGGAGGCAGCAGUGGGGAAUAUUGCACAAUGGGCGGAAGCCUGAUGCAGCAACGCCGCGUGCGGGAUGACGGCCUUCGGGUUGUAAACCGCUUUCGCCUGUGACGAAGCGUGAGUGACGGUAAUGGGUAAAGAAGCACCGGCUAACUACGUG
rnacentral:rRNA from 1 species